rnacentral:rRNA from 1 species
AGUGAACGCUGGCGGUAGGCCUAACACAUGCAAGUCGAACGGCAGCACAGUAAGAGCUUGCUCUUACGGGUGGUGAGUGGCGGACGGGUGAGGAAUACAUCGGAAUCUACUUUUUCGUGGGGGAUAACGUAGGGAAACUUACGCUAAUACCGCAUACGACCUACGGGUGAAAGCAUGGGAUCUUCGGACCUUGCGCGAUUGAAUGAGCCGAUGUCGGAUUAGCUAGUUGGCGGGGUAAAGGCCCACCAAGGCGACGAUCCGUAGCUGGUCUGAGAGGAUGAUCAGCCACACUGGAACUGAGACACGGUCCAGACUCCUACGGGAGGCAGCAGUGGGGAAUAUUGGACAAUGGGCGCAAGCCUGAUCCAGCCAUACCGCGUGGGUGAAGAAGGCCUUCGGGUUGUAAAGCCCUUUUGUUGGGAAAGAAAAGCAGCAGGUUAAUACCCCGCUGUUCUGACGGUACCCAAAGAAUAAGCACCGGCUAACUUCGUG